GUACGCGAAAGUCACCUUCGGGUGGCGAGUAGAGUGGCGCACGGGUGAGUAACGCGUGGACAAUCUGCCUUCGGGUUCGGGACAACUCCGGGAAACUGGAGCUAAUACCGAAUAAGACCACAGGGUCCUUGGACCCAGCGGUCAAAGGUGGCCUCUUCUUGAAAGCUACCGCCUGUCGAUGAGCCCGCGUCCCAUUAGCUUGUUGGUGAGGUAACGGCUCACCAAGGCGACGAUGGGUAGCUGGUCUGAGAGGAUGAUCAGCCACACUGGAACUGAGACACGGUCCAGACUCCUACGGGAGGCAGCAGUCGGGAAUCUUGGGCAAUGGGGGAAACCCUGACCCAGCAACGCCGCGUGAGGGAUGAAGGCCCUAGGGUCGUAAACCUCUGUCGGGAGGGAAGAAUCCUCCGGGGGUGAAUAAUCCUCGGAGUUGACGGUACCUCCAAAGGAAGCGCCGGCUAACUCCGUGCCAGCAGCCGCGGUAAUACGGAGGGCGCAAGCGUUGUUCGGAAUCAUUGGGCGUAAAGCGCGUGUAGGCGGCUUGGUAAGUCGGACGUGAAAGCCCGGGGCUCAACCCCGGAAUUGCGUUCGAAACUGCCUCGCUAGAGUCCCGGAGGGGAGGGCGGAAUUCCCGGUGUAGAGGUGAAAUUCGUAGAUAUCGGGAGGAACACCAGCGGCGAAGGCGGCCCUCUGGACGGUGACUGACGCUCAGACGCGAAAGCGUGGGGAGCAAACAGGAUUAGAUACCC
rnacentral:rRNA from 1 species